rnacentral:rRNA from 1 species
GAUGAACGCUGGCGGCGUGCCUAACACAUGCAAGUCGAACGAAGCACCUUACCUGAUUCUUCGGAUGAAAGUUUGGUGACUGAGUGGCGGACGGGUGAGUAACGCGUGGGUAACCUGCCCUGUACAGGGGGAUAACAGCUGGAAACGGCUGCUAAUACCGCAUAAGCGCACGAGGAGACAUCUCCUUGUGUGAAAAACUCCGGUGGGACAGGAUGGGCCCGCGUCUGAUUAGCUGGUUGGCAGGGUAACGGCCUACCAAGGCAACGAUCAGUAGCCGGUCUGAGAGGAUGAACGGCCACAUUGGAACUGAGACACGGUCCAAACUCCUACGGGAGGCAGCAGUGGGGAAUAUUGCACAAUGGGGGAAACCCUGAUGCAGCAACGCCGCGUGAGUGAAGAAGUAUUUCGGUAUGUAAAGCUCUAUCAGCAGGGAAGAUAAUGACGGUACCUGACUAAGAAGCUCCGGCUAAAUACGUG